GGGUUGUGAGGUUAAGCGACUAAGCGUACACGGUGGAUGCCCUGGCAGUCAGAGGCGAUGAAGGACGUGCUAAUCUGCGAUAAGCGUCGGUGAGGUGAUAUGAACCGUUAUAACCGGCGAUUUCCGAAUGGGGAAACCCAGUGUGUUUCGACACACUAUCAUUAACUGAAUCCAUAGGUUAAUGAGGCGAACCGGGGGAACUGAAACAUCUAAGUACCCCGAGGAAAAGAAAUCAACCGAGAUUCCCCCAGUAGCGGCGAGCGAACGGGGAGGAGCCCAGAGCCUGAAUCAGUGUGUGUGUUAGUGGAAGCGUCUGGAAAGGCGCGCGAUACAGGGUGACAGCCCCGUACACAAAAAUGCACAUAUUGUGAGCUCGAUGAGUAGGGCGGGACACGUGGUAUCCUGUCUGAAUAUGGGGGGACCAUCCUCCAAGGCUAAAUACUCCUGACUGACCGAUAGUGAACCAGUACCGUGAGGGAAAGGCGAAAAGAACCCCGGCGAGGGGAGUGAAAAAGAACCUGAAACCGUGUACGUACAAGCAGUGGGAGCCUCUUAAUGGGGUGACUGCGUACCUUUUGUAUAAUGGGUCAGCGACUUAUAUUCUGUAGCAAGGUUAACCGAAUAGGGGAGCCGAAGGGAAACCGAGUCUUAACUGGGCGUUAAGUUGCAGGGUAUAGACCCGAAACCCGGUGAUCUAGCCAUGGGCAGGUUGAAGGUUGGGUAACACUAACUGGAGGACCGAACCGACUAAUGUUGAAAAAUUAGCGGAUGACUUGUGGCUGGGGGUGAAAGGCCAAUCAAACCGGGAGAUAGCUGGUUCUCCCCGAAAGCUAUUUAGGUAGCGCCUCGUGAAUUCU
rnacentral:rRNA from 1 species